AUUGAACGCUGGCGGCAUGCCUAACACAUGCAAGUCGAACGGCAGCGCGGGCAUCUUCCUCCCGUCGAGUUGCCGACGGGCGAGUGAUUCACCCGAACAUGCCCAGCAGAUGGGGCUAGGAUGACUACAGCCGGAUUAAUACCGUAUCCGACCAUAGGGUGAACGGGGGGGAUCUUUGGACCUCGCGCGAUUGGAUCGGCCGAUGGCAGAUUAGCUAGUUGGUUGGGUAAAGGCCUACCAAGGCGACGAUCCGUAGCUGGUCUGAGAGGACGACCAGCCACACUGGAACUGAGACACGGUCCAGACUCCUACGGGAGGCAGCAGUGGGGAAUCUUGGACAAUGGGCGAAAGCCUGAUCCAGCAAUGCCGCGUGAGUGAUGAAGGCCUUCGGGUUGUAAAGCACUUUUGUCGGGAAAGAAAAGAAGUGUGCGAAUACAACGGUGUGAUGACGGUACCCGAAGAAUAAGCACCGGCUAACUACGUG
rnacentral:rRNA from 1 species